rnacentral:rRNA from 20 species
CGACUCUCGGCAACGGAUAUCUCGGCUCACGCAUCGAUGAAGAACGUAGCAAAAUGCGAUACUUGGUGUGAAUUGCAGAAUCCCGUGAACCAUCGAGUUUUUGAACGCAAGUUGCGCCCGAAGCCAUCCGGCUGAGGGCACGUCUGCCUGGGCGUCACG